rnacentral:rRNA from 1 species
UACGUAGGGUCCGAGCGUUGUCCGGAGUUACUGGGCGUAAAGGGUGCGCAGGCGGCCAGGUGUGUGAGGCGUGAAAGCCCGGGGCUUAACCCCGGAAUUGCACCUCAAACUACAUGGCUAGAGCAUUGGAGAGGGUAGCAGAAUUCACGGUGUAGCAGUGAAAUGCGUAGAUAUCGUGAGGAAUACCAGAGGCGAAGGCGGCUACCUGGACAAUUGCUGACGCUCAGGCACGAAAGCGUGGGAGCAAAAGGG